AAUCUGGUUGAUCCUGCCAGUAGUCAUAUGCUUGUCUCAAAGAUUAAGCCAUGCAUGUGUAAGUAUAAGUAUUAUACGGCGAAACUGCGAAUGGCUCAUUAAAACAGUUAUGAUUUAUUUGAUAAUCGAAAGUUACAUGGAUAACCGUGACAAAUUACAGCUAAUACAUGCAGUCAGACCUGGUCCAAGGGUCGUAAUUAUUAGUACCAAACCAAUUCCGCAAGGAAUGUGAUGAAUCAUAGUAAUCGAACGAAUCGCAGGUAUAUGCGAUAAGUCAUUCAAGUUUCUGCCCUAUCAGCUUUGGAUGGUAGUGUAUUGGACUACCAUGGCAGUCACGGGUAACGGAGAAUUAGGGUUCGAUUCCGGAGAGGGAGCCUGAGAAACGGCUACCACAUCUACGGAAGGCAGCAGGCGCGAAAAUUGCCCAAUCCUGACACGGGGAGGCAGUGACAAGAAAUAACAACUCUAGGUUUUCUUAGAAGUGUAAUGAGGAUAAUUUACAAACCUUACCAAAUGCAAUUGGAGGGCAAGUCUGGUGCCAGCAGCCGCGGUAAUUCCAGCUCCAAUAGCGUAUAUUAAAGUUGUUGCAGUUAAAAAGCUCGUAGUUGAAAUUCUGAUUGUUCGGGUUUUUAGCCUUUAGGCGGAAAUACCGACAGUCAUCCGCUUGCAAACAUACGUUUGACCUUAACCAGUUGACUAUGUGAGUAAGCAUUUUACCUUGAGAAAAACAGAGUGUUCCAGGCAGGUUUGUCCGGAAUGCAUUAGCAUGGAAUAAUAGAACAUGACUGAAGUCUAUUUAUUGGUUAAAGGCUUUAGUAAUGAUUAAUAGGAACAGUCGGGGGCAUUCGUACUCAGCAGUCAGAGGUGAAAUUCUAAGAUUUGCUGAAGACGAACUAAUGCGAAAGCAUUUGCCAAGGAUGUUUUCAUUAAUCAAGAACGAAAGUUAGGGGAUCAAAGACGAUCAGAUACCGUCCUAGUCUUAACUAUAAACGAUACCGACUCGGAUUCAGAUGAAUCAAAAUGUUCAUUUGGGACCGUAGGAGAAAUCAAAGUCUUUGGGUUCUGGGGGGAGUAUGGUCGCAAGGCUGAAACUUAAAGGAAUUGACGGUUUUGCACCACCAUGGAGUGGAGUUUGCGGCUUAAUUUGACAACACUGGGAAACUCAUCAGGGCAAGAAGAUUUUAGGAUUGACAGAUUGAGAGUUCUUUCUUGAUUGGUCUAGUGGUGGUGCAUGGCCGUUCUUA
rnacentral:rRNA from 1 species